CAAUGCUCGCUAUGUCGCCCCCGCCCCCGACCGGACGACGGUCGACCGUCUUGGACGACAUGGAUGACUUGGAUUCGUUGCAUUCGACCAGCCGAUUACUGCAAAAAAAUGUCGUAAACUCCCUAGAUUUAAAUGACAAUCCAUGUGAUUCUUCCAUGCUUGCUAAUUGGAAUUGGAAAUGGAAAUGCUAAUUUAUUUUAGACCAAAGUUUGGGAACAUGAAGCUGUAUGAAUAUUACUUGUGUUUUAAAACAGGAUAAAAUUAAAUUCGUCACUUUAUUAAACAAUAGGGAUACAGUUGUUAUAAGUUAAAUUCAUAACCAGCGUAAAAAAAUAUGGUUGAGUUAUUCGGCUGAGUUUAAAAAAGAUAAAGUUAAACUUAUCAUCAAUGCCAUGAAACAGAAUAAAAUUAAUUUGUCACCAA